CCCUUAGACGUUCUGGGCCGCACGCGCGCUACACUGACCCGUGCAACAAGCAUCCGUCCUUGGCCGACAGGCCCGGGCAAUCUUUGAACGCUGGUCGUGAUGGGGAUAGACUUUUGCAAUUUUUGGUCUUCAACGAGGAAUUCCUAGUAAACGCAAGUCAUCAACUUGCAUUGAUUACGUCCCUGCCCUUUGUACACACCGCCCGUCGCACCUACCGAUUGAAUGGUCCGGUGAAGCCUCCGGAUUGGCGCGCGCCUCGGUGCCGCCGAGAAGUUGGCUAAACCUUACCAUUUAGAGGAAGGUGAAGUCGUAACA
rnacentral:rRNA from 1 species